UCCUGUACUACCGAUAACUGUUUGAGAGAAGGGAUGACACAGUAGGAUAAGCUAAGCACACUGUUGGUUAUGUGUGCCCAAGCAUUGAGGCAGUCAAAGUAGGCAAAUCCGCUUUGAUAAUGCUGGGAUGUGAUGGGGAGCGAAAUUUAGUAGCGAAGUAGCUGAUUUCACACUGUCAAGAAAAGUCUCUAUCGAGGUUAAAGGUACCCGUACCGCAAACAGACACAGGUGGGUGAGGAGAGUAUCCUAAGGCCAGCGAGAGAACUGUUGUUAUGGAACUCGGCAAAAUGACACCGUCAAUUAGGGAUAAGGGGUGCCACCAUCA
rnacentral:rRNA from 1 species